rnacentral:rRNA from 1 species
GACGAACGCUGGCGGCGUGCUUAACACAUGCAAGUCGAACGAUGAAGCCGGAGCUUGCUCUGGUGAAUUAGUGGCGAACGGGUGAGUAACACGUGAGUAACCUGCCCUUGACUCUGGGAUAACUGCUAGAAAUGGUAGCUAAUACCGGAUACGACCCUCGGAGGCAUCUCCAGGGGGUGGAAAGAAUUUUGGUCAAGGAUGGACUCGCGGCCUAUCAGAUAGUUGGUGAGGUAAUGGCUCACCAAGGCGACGACGGGUAGCCGGCCUGAGAGGGUGACCGGCCACACUGGGACUGAGACACGGCCCAGACUCCUACGGGAGGCAGCAGUGGGGAAUAUUGCACAAUGGGCGCAAGCCUGAUGCAGCAACGCCGCGUGAGGGAUGACGGCCUUCGGGUUGUAAACCUCUUUUAGUAGGGAAGAAGCGAAAGUGACGGUACCUGCAGAAAAAGCACCGGCUAACUACGUGCCAGCCGCCGCAGUAA